rnacentral:rRNA from 1 species
GUCGCAAGACCAAAGUGGGGGACCUUCGGGCCUCAUGCCAUCAGAUGUGCCCAGAUGGGAUUAGCUAGUAGGUGGGGUAACGGCUCACCUAGGCGACGAUCCCUAGCUGGUCUGAGAGGAUGACCAGCCACACUGGAACUGAGACACGGUCCAGACUCCUACGGGAGGCAGCAGUGGGGAAUAUUGCACAAUGGGCGCAAGCCUGAUGCAGCCAUGCCGCGUGUGUGAAGAAGGCCUUCGGGUUGUAAAGCACUUUCAGCGGGGAGGAAGGCGGUGAGGUUAAUAACCUCAUCGAUUGACGUUACCCGCAGAAGAAGCACCGGCUAACUCCGUGCCAGCAGCCGCGGUAAUACGGAGGGUGCAAGCGUUAAUCGGAAUUACUGGGCGUAAAGCGCACGCAGGCGGUCUGUCAAGUCGGAUGUGAAAUCCCCGGGCUCAACCUGGGAACUGCAUUCGAAACUGGCAGGCUAGAGUCUUGUAGAGGGGGGUAGAAUUCCAGGUGUAGCGGUGAAAUGCGUAGAGAUCUGGAGGAAUACCGGUGGCGAAGGCGGCCCCCUGGACAAAGACUGACGCUCAGGUGCGAAAGCGUGGGGAGCAAACAGGAUUAGAUACCCUGGUAGUCCACGCCGUAAACGAUGUCGAUUUGGAGGUUGUGCCCUUGAGGCGUGGCUUCCGGAGCUAACGCGUUAAAUCGACCGCCUGGGGAGUACGGCCGCAAGGUUAAAACUCAAAUGAAUUGACGGGGGCCCGCACAAGCGGUGGAGCAUGUGGUUUAAUUCGAUGCAACGCGAAGAACCUUACCUGGUCUUGACAUCCACAGAACUUUCCAGAGAUGGAUUGGUGCCUUCGGGAACUGUGAGACAGGUGCUGCAUGGCUGUCGUCAGCUCGUGUUGUGAAAUGUUGGGUUAAGUCCCGCAACGAGCGCAACCCUUAUCCUUUGUUGCCAGCGGUCCGGCCGGGAACUCAAAGGAGACUGCCAGUGAUAAACUGGAGGAAGGUGGGGAUGACGUCAAGUCAUCAUGGCCCUUACGACCAGGGCUACACACGUGCUACAAUGGCAUAUACAAAGAGAAGCGACCUCGCGAGAGCAAGCGGACCUCAUAAAGUAUGUCGUAGUCCGGAUUGGAGUCUGCAACUCGACUCCAUGAAGUCGGAAUCGCUAGUAAUCGUAGAUCAGAAUGCUACGGUGAAUACGUUCCCGGGCCUUGUACACACCGCCCGUCACACCAUGGGAGUGGGUUGCAAAAGAAGUAGGUAGCUUAACCUUCGGGAGGGCGCUUACCACUUUGUGAUUCAUGACUGGGGUGAAGUCGUAACAAGGUAACCGUAGGGGAACCUGCGGUUGGAUCACCUCCUU